AACGGACUCAGCUUUUUGGUCCGCAGCAGAUCACGGUUUGUAUAUAUGUUUAGAUCCGUCCACUACUGGACUAUUUGGACAUCACCCGCCAGUUUUUGCCUGCUUUGACAUCUCUAUAAUCCUCUGGCUAAAAGAGCUUUUCUAUGAGAUUGUAAUACUAAACUCCACAUUUCUAUAUUUGAAUCGGGAAAACUCAAUAUCAAAACAUGUUUCUCCCCUGCUAUAGAACAAAUUUCUUAAAAGCCUUGAAUGAAUCA
rnacentral:lncRNA from 1 species